rnacentral:sRNA from 1 species
CCGCCCGGCCUCUACCACCGAGGAAAGGGGUAACCGGCGCGGGGGUUCCCAGCGCCAGCUUGCGCGAAUCCCCAGAAACUCCGUGAAUCACCUCGGGAUACUAAACGGAUUAUACAAAGGCAGUGUCUUCUGGGGUCCUUUUCAUGCCUCUAGGACCAGGACCUGCACUCACCCUCCCCACUGACACAUUGGUCUGGGCCCCCGGCCGCGCUGUCACCAUGGAAACGGCGUCUCGCGGACAGCGCUGCGGCUUACGACGGUUCCAUUGUUACGGGAAACUGGAAAGUGGAGACCGCGCCGGUGUUGCCUGGAGAACGCCUGGACUCAGAGCAGCAAAAUGGGCCUCUCCCCAACUCCCCUCCUCCUCCCCCAGCACAAGGCAAAGGGCACCCCUUGCUGUGAGUUUGGGGGCACCGGCUGUCGCGGGCCGACCCAGAACUUUGCGGAGUCCCCUGAGGGACCCGUGGCGGGACCGGCCCUGGGUUCGUCAAAUUCCGCCGAUGCUUUCAGGAGGCUGAUUAAACAAAGGACAAGAUUGGAGUGGGAAAUGGAGGCUCUUAAAAGUGGAAGCUUUUUGUUUGUCCAUUUAUAAGAAAUUGGACAAUGAAUCACUUCAGGAAGAUGGAGGUCAUCAACCUCACUGCCCUACCUAUGAUACCAGUGGAUGAGCACCUGGCUGUCUCGCUUGUCGCACGGAAUACAAUGGUGAAGACCGUGAGGAAGGAGUUAGAGAACAGUCCACCCUCGUGCCUUAUUGGCUCCAUGCACCAGGUGAACCAAAAGAUUGCUGACAUAAAUCUGCGUAUCGAGCCGUCGGCCAACAGCCUGGCAAUUGAGAGAUUUGAGUUGGAGAAGAAGGCUUUAAGAGAGAAAACUCGCAGCAGUCCAGGAGACAAAGUCAAGAGACAAAGAAAAUCUCAGUAUUCCUGCAAAGGCUCCGAACUCAGACAUGCCAGAUCUUCUGUUAUAAAAAGGAAAACAGCAGAUAAAAAUCUGCUGGUGGAGCUGUACCAGUAUUCCAACUUUAACAGCUCCAAGCCAAACAAGCUUCCGAAUGGUGUGGACUUCUGUGACAUGGUGGGCAACGUGGUCCGGGCUGAGAGAGACUGCCUUAGUGGCAAGCGUUUCUGUUCAGGUAGAGAAUUAGAGAAGUUUCUCUCUUCUCCUUCUCCAAGAGCCAUCUGGCUGGAUAGCUUUUGGUGGAUAUUUCAUGAGAGGUACCAGCCAAACAAGGAGCUCCAGAAUAAUCUGUUUGACCGGAUAGCCCAGCACUAUGCCUUACUUUUGUUUCGUGUACCCAAGUCCCACUAUGAAGAGGCGCUCUUAAAAAGGCUGCCAUCACUUCUGAGCAAAGCUGUGUACACCAGCUUCUGUUGCUGCUUCCCACAGUCCUGGUUCAACACGCACGAAUUCAAGUCUGACAUCUGUAACACAAUGAGCCUGUGGAUUUCAGGCACCUAUCCUAGCCCACAGAGCUAUGACAGCUGGGACUACUCGGAACUAGACCCAGAGCGAUUCCGCAGAGAAGAAUUAAUGUUAUACAGAAGAAGACUGACAAAGGGGAAAGAGUUUUCUUCGUUUGCUGGUAAGAGAGCCUUCUCCCAGAAGCCAGCCCAGAGCAGGAAAUUCUGCCACCCUCAGUCUUCUAGUGCAAAUUCACCCAAUGAAAAAGCCUCUUCGGCCAAGCAGAACUCAGAAAAAAGCUUACGAAUGCAGAAUACUGCAAAAGAGCAUCAUUGUCAGACCCUGGUCUUGAAGAAACCUACACAAGAAGUCAAGAGGAUAUCAGAAGCAAGAGAAAGUGAGAAUAUGUUUCCUAAAAAGUCGUGUGCUGCCUGCAAAAGCCCUGAGCUGACUUCAAACCUCUUCAACAUUUAUGGGAAGAGCCCUCUGAUUGUGUACUUUCUCCAGAACUACGCCAGUCUGCAGCAGCACGGCAAGAAUGUGUUGAUAGUCAGAAGGGAAAAGACCACGAGCACCCCUGACUGCACCCCAACGUUUACUGAUGUCAUCAACGAGACCCUGUGCAGCAUGAAGAAGCGGAAAGACAACCUCAAUCAGUUGUACCAGCGUCACUGGAGUGAAUGGAAUUAUUUUGACAAGCAUCUAAAGGAGCUGCAAGACAACUUCUCCAGGGAAAUGAAGAAUAUUGAUGAAAAAGCAGCAGAUAAAAAAAAGGCAAACCACAUGUUCAUCCCACCUUCAGCUGUCAAUGAGGAAUCACCUGACAAGAAAACUAAGGGAAGUCUCCAAAGAGAAAUUGAGUUUCUUUUAAGGUUUGUUCGAACAAAAACCAUGGGAAAUGUAGAAGUGUGAACAGUGAGGGGAAAGGAGGAGAGGGAAAGAGAAGAGAAACAGAAGUUGAACAUUUCUUUCCACUUACUUCCAAGCCCUGAGGAGCUCCACAACCUAGAACCAGGAAGCGCCUACAGAAUCCGUGAUAUUUCUGCUACGAGGUGGAGUAGAACAACAAGAAAAUAAGAAAAUUGUGGCCAAAGAC